GACUGUUGGUGACAGCUAGCACAGCACCCUGACUUCUCUCUUCCAGCUGCCUCCUUUCCUAAAAACGCUGACUCCCUCGAAAAAAAACCCUAGCCGCCACGACACUCCCUCAGCUCCCCAUUCUCCUCGGAAUUCUCGAUCUCACUCGAAAACUUCCCCUCAGCUCAUGUCCGACUCAUCCCUCAGCUCACCCGGGCUCGGUUUCCCUCAGAUCCGGAGGCCCCAGCUCAUUCCCGUCCUCACCCUCAGCUCUGACAACGCAGACUCCUUCACUCUAAGAUCGCACUCUUUCCCCAGCAUGCACACACGCACAUCCAGCUCGGGCUUCCAUGGCAGCAGCCCCUCUCGAGCUCUCAUCAGUCUGGCCUAGUUGAUAAGCUAUCAAGACAGCCUCUUGUGUCGUCCGUUCAGCAGCUCGACACCGUUCAAUAGAGGGGGUCAGGUGAUCCUCUUUCGUCUUGAAAACCACUAGUUACUGGUGACUGAGCUUUAGUGUGGGUAUUUAAAUGGUUCGGACGCAUUUCACUCAACUCUUGUAGCUUGAGAUCGAGAUUGAGACACCAACUGAGACGCAUGUUGUUCCUUAAAUAGAUUCGAGCGUGUUUGUCUUGGCUUUGAUGAUAGAAUGACGUGUUCUUGCUGACGACUGAAUUGUUUGGUGUAUCCCUUCAAUUUGGAAUAGUUAAUCUUGAUCUUAAUAAUCGUCAGUCAUGAUUGGUAUAGGACUGAGUUAUUCAGUUUGAUUUCGAGGACUUGACGACUUAUUUGAGUACAAGCAUGUCCUGUGGCAGAUUCUAAGAUUUUCUAGAGGUCCAGCACUUUUUAUUCUCUCAUGUCAAGCUCGAUUCAAUGUUCUUGCGCAUGCUGGUCAUAAAUGAAUAACAGCCUUAGAGACUCAUGUCAAUCAUAAUUAAGUCGUACAAUGAGUCAUUCUCACGCCUAGGCCUCUUAGAAUAAUUUUCCUUUAUGUGUCACGUUAUGUCGAGUGUUUUAAGGCAACUAUAAGAGUGAUUUAUAAUCUGGACAACAUUGAGUUAUGGCCUUAGAGAUUUGCUUCGAUCAUAUUUUUUUUAUGAAAUGAACUGUCCUUAUAUUUAGAUGCCCUAAGGUCGUCUUCACUUAGCUUUUUAUGUUGUCUUGGGUUCCGUUAAAGUCGAUUUUGAGAAGAUUUUGAAAUCAAAUCUGAACUGAUGUGUGGAUUUUGAAACCUAUCUCGAUCGUGAAUAUGGAGAAAGAAACAUCUCUUGGUGCUCGGAUCGUCUUCAUUUACUCUUGCUUGCAUCUCGUGUCAAUUACGAAAUGAGAAUGAUAAAUACAUAAUAAGGCAUGAGAGGUCUUAAUCGAAUCAUGAAUGACAAGGGCGACAUGAGUCUUCAUCUUGUGCUUGAUUGCCUCAGUGUUGGUUCCAGUACUUUAAAAUCCUCUAUUCCUAUCUUGUCCCUUCUUCUUGUUUCCUUUUUCGUUUUCUUGCAUGUCUCAUGGGAGGACAAGGUUAGCGAGACAGGAAGAUAAUAGGCCGAUGCAGGUGGGGCUUGAAGACGAUGUGGAGACUUACCUAGGCUUAGGUUGAGUCCCGACUUGAAGGCCGCCCCGGUCCGUGGUAGUCAAGGAUCUUCCAAACUAGCUCAUCCUGAGAAUCUCUUGGGAUCAGGAUGCCGCGAUCGACCUCUUGUCUGUGCAUCGACCAUGUCUUGCCACCGCUAAACGACAUCAACUGCAUCUGGACUAGUCUUGCACACAGUCAACCAUGACCACAUCACCUCCUUCAUCGGAGACAUCCCUUUACUAGUUACUCGUUGAAUAUACUAGAACCUCCUUGAAGAAGUUUCAUUCUGGGAUCUCGUCAACAAGGUCUUCAACAUCCAUGGCAUCAGAAUCCACACCAAUCAUUGAGGGAUAUUAAACCCUCAUCUAGCCGCACUCAAGGAUCUCACCGAAUCUUCAUAGAGCGAGGCCGGCACACCUAUCAGAGCAUCUUUCUCUUCAGAUGUAGCUGCCUUGGUCUGCUUACCAGCAUCAGAAUCGAGACAAUUCAUCUUUGCUGGAUAUAGCCAAGAAGGAUGAGGAACUCAUCGACCAGCGUCAACUCCGAGGAAACUCGCAGGCGCCUACAUCGAGCUUUCGAGACGUGAUCAAGAGUUGGCCCAAGUGAACACUGCCUUGGAGAGGUCUCGGUCCAGAACCGAUGCUUUCCAAAGUGGCGUAGGCUCACGCCCCGAGCGCAGUAGAAAAUCGACUUAGGACUUCAAUUUCAAAACUUGCAUUGUACUUUGAACCGUCCUAGUCAAUGUGAAUGACCGCAUUAGUAUUUUCAAAACUCA